rnacentral:rRNA from 1 species
CACAUGCAAGUCGAGGGGCAGCAUGGUCCUUGCUUGCUAAGGCCGAUGGCGACCGGCGCACGGGUGAGUAACACGUAUCCAACCUGCCGUCUACUCUUGGACAGCCUUCUGAAAGGAAGAUUAAUACAAGAUGGCAUCAUGAGUCCGCAUGUUCACAUGAUUAAAGGUAUUCCGGUAGACGAUGGGGAUGCGUUCCAUUAGAUAGUAGGCGGGGUAACGGCCCACCUAGUCUUCGAUGGAUAGGGGUUCUGAGAGGAAGGUCCCCCACAUUGGAACUGAGACACGGUCCAAACUCCUACGGGAGGCAGCAGUGAGGAAUAUUGGUCAAUGGGCGAGAGCCUGAACCAGCCAAGUAGCGUGAAGGAUGACUGCCCUAUGGGUUGUAAACUUCUUUUAUAAAGGAAUAAAGUCGGGUAUGGAUACCCGUUUGCAUGUACUUUAUGAAUAAGGAUCGGCUAACUCCGUGCCAGCAGCCGCGGUAAUACGGAGGAUCCGAGCGUUAUCCGGAUUUAUUGGGUUUAAAGGGAGCGUAGAUGGAUGUUUAAGUCAGUUGUGAAAGUUUGCGGCUCAACCGUAAAAUUGCAGUUGAUACUGGAUAUCUUGAGUGCAGUUGAGGCAGGCGGAAUUCGUGGUGUAGCGGUGAAAUGCUUAGAUAUCACGAAGAACUCCGAUUGCGAAGGCAGCCUGCUAAGCUGCAACUGACAUUGAGGCUCGAAAGUGUGGGUAUCAAACAGGAUUAGAUACCCUGGUAGUCCACACGGUAAACGAUGAAUACUCGCUGUUUGCGAUAUACAGCAAGCGGCCAAGCGAAAGCGUUAAGUAUUCCACCUGGGGAGUACGCCGGCAACGGUGAAACUCAAAGGAAUUGACGGGGGCCCGCACAAGCGGAGGAACAUGUGGUUUAAUUCGAUGAUACGCGAGGAACCUUACCCGGGCUUAAAUUGCAGAUGAAUUACGGUGAAAGCCGUAAGCCGCAAGGCAUCUGUGAAGGUGCUGCAUGGUUGUCGUCAGCUCGUGCCGUGAGGUGUCGGCUUAAGUGCCAUAACGAGCGCAACCCUUGUUGUCAGUUACUAACAGGUUCCGCUGAGGACUCUGACAAGACUGCCAUCGUAAGAUGUGAGGAAGGUGGGGAUGACGUCAAAUCAGCACGGCCCUUACGUCCGGGGCUACACACGUGUUACAAUGGGGGGUACAGAGGGCCGCUACCACGCGAGUGGAUGCCAAUCCCAAAAACCUCUCUCAGUUCGGACUGGAGUCUGCAACCCGACUCCACGAAGCUGGAUUCGCUAGUAAUCGCGCAUCAGCCACGGCGCGGUGAAUACGUUCCCGGGCCUUGUACACACCGCCUGUCAAGCCAUGGGAGCCGGGGGUACCUGAAGUGCGUAACCGCGAGGAGCGCCCUAGGGUAAAACUGGUGACUGGGGCUAAGUCAUAACAA